rnacentral:lncRNA from 1 species
GGAAGAUGUUGGAAACGUGAUGGGCCGAAAAUUUACUUUUUAUUACACACUCAAUAUAUUACAAUACGAAGAUUACAAAUAUUUUCUCAAUGACUAGAUAGUCUAGCUGCUGCUAGAUUUUAACUCACUCAAGGUUUGCUAACCUUCUCACUCUCACUCACGUUGCUUCUCUUAUUUCUUUUUUCUUCUCAUUUUUAUUCCUUUACAACACAAGUUCAAGCCUCUAUUUAUAGGCUGAUAAAGUGACAACAAAUGUGGCUAUUAAUCCACUUAAUUUCCAGCCACAAAACAUCUCAAUAAUGGAGCACUUUGUAUGGCUAAAAUUUCAGCACUUUGCAUGGCACAAAAUUGCUCCACGUCUCAUGCUUCUAGAUUAUGCUUGGAGUGGGUUUGAUUUCUAACACUCCCCCUCAAACCCAACUUUCAUACCGAGCUUCUCUUUGAAUUUGUUGAAUGUCUCCACUUUCAACGGCUUUGUGAAAAUAUCUGCCAGUUGAUCUUCUGUCCUGCAAUGGACCAACUCCACGUUUUUGUUUUUCACUUGCUCUCGGAUAAAAUGAUACUUCGUAUCGAUGUGCUUGCUUCGGCUGUGCGACACCGGAUUCUUGGCAAGUGAUAUAGCGAAUUUGUUGUCAACUUAGAUGGUAAUUGGACCUUCAUUUGAAACACCUAUUUCUCCCAAAAUAUUCUUCAACCACAUUGCUUGGCAUGUACAAGUUGCUGCGGCCAUAUACUCUGCUUCACAUGUUGAGAGAGCAAUUGUUUGUUGCUUCUUUGACGACCAUGAAAAAACUGCGGAACUGAUGUGGAAUGCAUAUCCGGAAGUGCUUUUCCGAUCAUCCAAGUCUCCCCCAUAAUCGCUAUCUGAGUAGCCAACUAAUUUUGAAUCUUGUGAGUGGGUAUAGAAUAAACCAUGGUUCAUCGUACCUUUGAUAUAUCUCAAAAUUCUUUUUGCGGCAAUUAAGUGGUCUUGCUUCGGCUUCUCCAUGAAUCUGCUCACCAAUCCUACUGCAUAUGUAAUAUCUGGUCGUGUGAUUGUCAAAUACCUUAAACUUCCAACGAGACUUUUAAACAACGUCGGAUUUAUCGACUCCCUUGUCGAAUCAACACUUAGCUUCAUCCCUGGAUCAACUGGCGUGACUACUGGCUUGCAAUCCUUCAUUUUGAACUUGUUCAAAAUCUGCUCCGCAUACUUCUUUUGAGAGACAAAAAUUCCAUCUUGCAUUUGUUUCACCUCGACUCCAAGAAAGUAUGACAUCUCACCGAUAUCUGUCAUUUCAAAUUCUUUAGUCAUAGCUUUCUUGAAAUCAUCAGACAUACCUGGAUUGUUUCCGGUGAAGAUCAUGUCAUCCACAUAUAGGCAUACGAUCAUGAUAUCUCCAUAUCCAUUCUUCUUUGUGUACAGGGUGUGCUCGUGCGGGCUUUUGAUGAAUCCAUUUCUUCGGAAGUACUCGUCGAUCCUUGUGUUCCAUGCUCUUGGGGCUUGUUUCAAUCCAUACAAAGCUUUCUUCAAUCGGUAGACUUUGUCCUCCUUUCCUUGUAUGCUAUAUCCAGGUGGUUGUUCUAUGUAGACUUCCUCCUCCAAGUAGCCAUUCAGGAAUGCAGACUUGACGUCCAUCUGAUAGAUUUUCCAUUUGUAUUGUGCUGCGACCGCUAUGAGAAGCCUAAUUGUGUCUAUUCUUGCGACUGGAGCAAAUAUUUCAUCAUAGUCCACUCCUUGUCUUUGCUUGUAGCCUUUGGCGACUAGCCUUGCCUUGUAUUUCUCUACUUUUCCUUCUUUGUUGGUCUUCGUCUUGUACACCCACUUGACACCAAUCGGGCUAUGUCCUUCUGGCAGACUUGUUAGCUCCCACGUGUCAUUCCUUCUUAUUGCAGCAAUCUCCUCGUCCAUGGCCUUCUUCCAUUUAUUGUUUUCAAUUGCUUCUUCGUAUGUCACUGGAUCACAUUCUGUCAUUAGACAGAAUAGUGAAUAAUCGAACUGCGUCUCUACAGGUUCCGUAGAAUUGUAGAUGUCGUUGAGACUCCGUGUUCUUGUGGGUGCUUCAUCUGAGCUGCUGCUUCCGCUGCUGCUGGUUGGUGACGAAGGGGCUGUUGUACCAGGACUUUGAUCAUCGCCUUGUUCUUCUUGGUUAUUGUCGUCUUCGUUGAAAAAUAAUCCUUCCACUUUCUUUUCUUCUUCACUCCAUCUCCAGUAAUCCGCUUCAUCGAACUCGACAUCUCUUGAGAUAAUCAAUUUCUUAGUAAGAGGAUUAUAAAGUCUGUAGGCCUUACGUCUUUUGUCAUAGCCUAUAAAGAUACACUUCUCUCCUCUAUCGUCAAGCUUUUUCCUCUGUUGCUCAGGAACGUGUGCAUAUGCAAUGCAUCCAAAAAUUUUGAGGUGUCCAACUCUUGGCUUGUGACCGCUCCAUGCUUCUUCUGGUGUCUUGUGUCUUACACUUUUUGUUGGACAUUGAUUCAACAGAUAAACUGCGCAUUCAACGGCUUCAGCCCAGAAAGUUCUCGGAAGGUGUUUACCUUUUAUCAUGCUUCUUGCCAUAUCCAGAAUUGUCCGAUUCUUCCUUUCUGCAACUCCGUUUUGUUGUGGAGUGCGUCUGGCUGUUAACUGAUGAAUGAUUCCAUGAUCCUUGCAGAAACUUUCAUAAAGCUUUGCAGUAUACUCACCUCCUCUAUCGGAUCUGAGUAUCUUCAAAUAUCGACCACUCUGUUUUUCCACCAUUGCUUUGAACUCCUUGAAUUUUUCUAGGGCUUCCGAUUUUGCUUUGAGAAAAUAAACCCAACAUUUUCUGCUAUAAUCAUCAAUAAAAGUUAGGUAGUACCUGUUUCCACCGAGUGAUUCAAUGUCGUACGGACCAGAUAUGUCGGUGUGUACAAUUUCCAAUGGUCUUCUAGCUCUUCGAGAUUUUCCUACUUCAAAUUUCUGCCUAUGCUGCUUUCCUUUGACACAGGCUUCACACAGUUGAUCUGGAUGAUUAAUACUUGGUAAUCCAUUCACCAUAUUUGUCUUCGACAACAGCUUCAAGCCAGAAAAUCUGAGAUGUCCGUACCUUAAGUGCCACAACCAUGAUUCAUUCUUCAGAUCCGUCUUCAUGCAUUUUACUUCUCCAGACUCGAUGUCGAGGGUGAAAAAACGAUUUCGCGUCAUAUCAACUUGAACAACUAAUUCUCCACUUUUGUUCCUGAUGGCGAGUGAGCGGUCUUUCAUAUGAACUUCAUAUCCUUUUUCUAGGAGUUGACCAAGACUGAUCAGGUUGCUCUUCAAAGCUGGUACGUAGUAAACGUCUGAGAUGUACUUCUUCUCUCCAUUCCUUUGUGUUAUAACAACCUUGCCCUUUCCUUUGAUUUCUGCAUGUGAGUUGUCUCCAAAAGUUAUUUGUCCAUGAACUGUUUCAUCUAAUUCUGUGAACAGCUCCUUUCUUCCACACAUGUGGUUGCUUGCACCGUUGUCGAGAUACCACACACUUCUCUUGCGAUCUUCAUUUUCUCCGUAAGUGAGAAAGACACUUGAUUCCACUUUUUCGUUGCCUUCUGCUGCGACUGCUACAUGGUUUCUUUCAUCCACUUUGUGUGUUGAUCUGCACUCGUAACUGAAAUGUCCAUACUUGUUACAGUUGUAGCAUUGUACCUGAGAUUUAUUUUCUUGAAAUCUGCCUCGGCCACGACCUCUAGAUCCACGUCCACGGUUGGAUGUUUGAUAAUCUUUAUUUUCUUGAUAUCUCCCAUAUGAUUGAUUUCCACGUCCUCGUGAUCCUCUUCCUCCUCUGUUUCCACCACGGUAGCCUCCACGGUAUCCUCUGCGGUUUCCUCUUCCUUGGUUAAAGUUAUUACUUGUUUCUCCGUCGUCGACGGACAACUUGCUAUGCAAGGCUUGAUCAAGAUUUUCACUAUCUUCAUUUAGCUUCAUCUUUUGCUCAUGGGCUUGCAGAGAACCCACAAGUUCUUCGAGCGACAUCUUUGACAAAUCUUUUGAUUCUUCGAUGGCAACGACUACGUACUCGAAUUUGCGUGUGAGUGACCGUAGAAUUUUCUCCAUCACUCUUACCUCGUCAAGAGUUUCUCCAUUUCGUUUCAUUUCAUUUACCACCGAUUUUACACGAUUGGCAUAGUCAUCGAUAUUCUCGGAGCUCUUCAUUUUUAACAUUUCAAAUUCAGCUCUAAGUGACUGAAGGCGUACCUUUUUAGCUUUUUCUACACCUUGAAAUGAUUUUUGCAAAAUCUCCCAUGCAUUCUUCGCGUUCUUCACAUCUGAUAUUUUCUCGAAGGUUGAUUCAUCCAUUCCUUGAAAGAUACUAUUCAAGGCCUUUUGAUCCUUCUUUCGUGCUUCUCGUAACGCCUUAUUAGCGUCAUUUGAUAAAGCUGCUUCUGUAGCGGCAUCUCCGGGCUCGAUGUAUCCUUUUUCAACGAUCUCCCAACAAUCUUGCGAACCGAGCAAAGCCUUCAUUCGAAUGCUCCAAUUUCCAUAAUUUGUCUUCGUCAAUUGUGGAACUUGUAGCUGAAUUACGUCGCCCAUAUCGACUUGUUAGAUGAACACCAAAGGUACUCCGAACUGGACACGAACCGGACACGAACCGAACUCCGAACCAAGCUCCGAACCGUAGCUCUGAUGCCACUUGUUGGAAACGUGAUGGGCCGAAAAUUUACUUUUUAUUACACACUCAAUAUAUUACAAUACGAAGAUUACAAAUAUUUUCUCAAUGACUAGAUAGUCUAGCUGCUGCUAGAUUUUAACUCACUCAAGGUUUGCUAACCUUCUCACUCUCACUCACGUUGCUUCUCUUAUUUCUUUUUUCUUCUCAUUUUUAUUCCUUUACAACACAAGUUCAAGCCUCUAUUUAUAGGCUGAUAAAGUGACAACAAAUGUGGCUAUUAAUCCACUUAAUUUCCAGCCACAAAACAUCUCAAUAAUGGAGCACUUUGUAUGGCUAAAAUUUCAGCACUUUGCAUGGCACAAAAUUGCUCCACGUCUCAUGCUUCUAGAUUAUGCUUGGAGUGGGUUUGAUUUCUA